rnacentral:rRNA from 1 species
UACGUAGGCAGCGAGCGUUGUCCGGACUUACUGGGCGUAAAGAGCGCGCAGGCGGUCGUUCAAGUCGAGUGUGAAAGCCCCCGGCUCAACUGGGGAGGGUCAUUCGAUACUGAUCGACUCGAAGGCAGGAGAGGGAAGCGGAAUUCCCGGUGUAGUGGUGAAAUGCGUAGAUAUCGGGAGGAACACCAGUGGCGAAGGCGGCUUCCUGGCCUGUUCUUGACGCUGAGGCGCGAAAGCUAGGGGAGCAAACGGG